rnacentral:snRNA from 1 species
AUGCUCGCUUCGGCAGCACAUAUACUAAAAUUGGAAUGAUACAGAGAAGAUUAGCAUGGCCCCUGCACAAGCAUGACAUGUAAAUUCAAGAAGUGUUCCAUAUUUUU